ACGCUCGACACCUACGGAGGCAGCAGUGGGGAAUAUUGCACAAUGGGGGAAACCCUGAUGCAGCGACGCCGCGUGAGUGAAGAAGUAUUUCGGUAUGUAAAGCUCUAUCAGCAGGGAANAAAAUGACGGUACCUGAGUAAGAAGCCCCGGCUAACUACGUGCCAGCAGCCGCGGUAAUCUGAGCGGGCUGGCAAGGC
rnacentral:rRNA from 1 species